AAAGAAUUAGUUAAAUUUAACAUUAGUAUGUCAUACUAAAAUUAUUAGUGAUACCCUAGUAUUCUUUA
rnacentral:tRNA from 1 species